UGGAAACGGCUGUUAAUACCGCAUAUGCACACGCUGCCGCAUGGCAGGGGGUGGAAAGAUUUAUCGGUGCAGGAUGGGCCCGCGUCGGAUUAACUGGUUGGCAGGGUAACGGCCUACCAAGGUGAUGAUCCGUAGCCGACCUGAGAGGGUGACCGGCCACAUUGGGACUGAGACACGGCCCAAACUCCUACGGGAGGCAGCAGUGGGGGAUAUUGCACAAUGGGCGGAAGCCUGAUGCAGCGACGCCGCGUGAAG
rnacentral:rRNA from 1 species